UAUCAUCAAAGUUGUACGUGUCAUUUUACCUUCAAUGAAAAACAUGUGUCGCUUCUUAUUCAAAGCUCUCUGCAAUCUCUUUCUACUUCACCGAUGAAGUAUCAGUACAGAAACACAUCAAAACCCAAGAUGGAGACACUUACCUGAAGUCCAUUGAUGGAGUCGAGGCGUUUGAUUCAAGUGGCCAACGAUAGUAUUCAUCACAACCAGUCAAUGGAAGACGGGUAUUAUUUCUUUUACUAAAAGCUGCUACUGCUGCUUGGAACAAUCCUAUGAUCAAGUUUUCGGUUUCUUUAGCUUUCA